AUUAGUAUGGUGUAGUGAUUUGGGUGUUGGACUAUGAUUCUGGAGACAAGGGUUCAAAUCCCUAUUCUACCA